GGGUCAAGCUAAUAAGAGUAAGCACAGGUUUGCACAAACAAAUGCCCACACAAUCCCUCCCGCCGUCUGACCCUGGAUUCCAAUCAACUUACGUCACAGCACAGGAAAGCACACAAGUCUUCAGGGAAGCGUCCCACACACACACGGUCCCGCCGUCUGACCCUGGAUUCCAAUCAACUUACGUCACAGCACAGGAAAGCACACAAGUCUUCAGGGAAGCGUCCCACACACACACGGAUCCCAAGCGUUUGCCCAGAUUACCUUGCCCAACGCAAUUUGCAAUUGCUCCCAAACCCCAUUUUAUGCCAGUUACAAAUCUUCAUCACUGUCAGCUGUCCUCCUUAACCCGGGCGUUUCCUCAUCACUUUCCUCGUCAGAGCUGGAACACCUCUGACUACGCCCAACAGCGUCUCCAGCUGUGGAUCCCGUCCCAUCCCUCCAACUAAGCCAUGGGUCUAAUCCUGAAGGUCCCCAUUCAUCUUCUGUCCCAUCAUGGCCAGUGGCACCCACUUCCUCCCUUACCCGAGUCCAAUCCAUCUCAUCCUCCUCUGAGCUAACCAGCCCCUCCUCCAUUCUCUCCGUAAACCCUUCGAAAGACUCCUCGUCAGAUGGUGCUGCAAAUAUGUCUCGCAGUCUUUUUCUCUCUCGCUCCUCGAGAGUAUCUGACUCUCGAGGAGUCUUACGCCCACGUCUGUCAGUAACAGAGCCAUGAGGCUCAAUCAUAACAGAUUGCUUCUUCCCCAGUUGCGAUCAAUCCUGCUGGACAUGAGAGUGAGUUUCUCCAGCUGUGUGCUCUGUAUAUAGCUGUAAAUAACUGCAAAAAAAAGUCAAUUACCACAGGACUCGGCAGAUAGCUGAGUGCAUGUUUGUUCGUCCAUCUAAGCAGAUACUAGAAUGCUGAACAAAGGGGAGAUAUGAGACGGAGAGCUGUUUGUGUCUCAGUUAACUCUCACACAUCUACAAUCUCCAUGUUCAAGCUCCCAUCCAAGUACUAACCAGACCUGGGUGCAUCUCACACAAGUAGGAAAACAUCUUUUUGCACACAGACUCACAAACCUCAUCAGGCACACUUUAAACUGGAUCCACUGGGGGAGGGGAACAACAGCCUGGCAAACACUAUAUUACCCACGACCACAGGGAAUUGCCAAAAGGCUAAAUGGAGGGCUGCACAAACACAGCAAGGACCAAGUACCGAGAGCACAAUAAUCCCAAAUAAACAGCUUGGGGGAAGGUCACAGGGGCUUACAUGUCUUUGCACUAAUGCACAGAGCAUGGGAAAUGAGCAAGACAAACUCCAACUUAUAGCACAGCACCACACAUACGAUAUCAUAGGCAUCACUGAAACCUGGUGGAAUGACUCCCAUCACUUGAAUGUAGCCAUUGAGGGCUAUAACCUCCUUCACAGAAAUAGAACAAAG
rnacentral:lncRNA from 1 species